rnacentral:rRNA from 1 species
GAUGAACGCUGGCGGCGUGCCUAAUACAUGCAAGUCGAACGAAAAGAUGAGGAGCUUGUGCCGCGCACGUUAGCGGCGGAGGGGUGAGAAACACGUGGAAAACCUACUUGUAAGACGGGUAUAACUUGGGGAAACGGGAGCUAAUCCGGUAGAAGAUAUUGAACCGCAGGGGGGAUUAGUAAAAUACGGUUGUGCGGGCACUAAUAGAGGGAUCCCGGCCGCAUUAGCUGGUUGUGAAGUUAAAGGGUUACGAAGGGAACGAUGCGUGGCCGACCGAAGAGGGUGAUCGCCCACCCUGGAACUGAGCCACGGUCAAGACUCCUGAGGGAGGCAGCAGUCGGGAAUCUUACGCAGUGGGCGAGAGCCUGACGGAGCAACGGCGCGUCAGUGAUGACGGUCUUGGGAUCGUAAAAAUCUGUUACUAGGGAAGAACAAAUUUGUAAGUAGAUAUGCACGUCUUGACGGUACCUGAUCAGAAAGCCCCGGCUAACUACGUG